rnacentral:lncRNA from 1 species
CACCCCACACCCCCACCCCCAGGACCUGUCCUCUGUCCUGGCUGCAAAGCCCCCGCACCCCAACUUGACUUGAGUCUCAUCUGAAUCAGAAUUGUGGCAGCAGCUUCUGACUUCACCUGGGAUUCCAGCCAGGCCAGGGGGCCAUGGAGGCAGCAGAGGAAGCUAGGCUGCUGAGCCGGAGGAGGAGUGACCGACAGGCAGCCCCACAGACGAGGCCUGAGGAGUUCUGUGCAGCCCAGGGAGUGGGGAGCCCUCAGCACAGAGCCCCGGAUGGACACUGCAUGGGGGCGGGGCCGCUCUGUGAGCUCGCUGCAGGUCAGCACCCGGCGGGGCCCCCUACCCUGUGGGAGGUGUGUGGGGAGGGUGGACAGCCAGCUCCUUGGAGGAACAUGCUCAGGACGGCCCAGUGUGGCGGCUGGGGAUGCCCAGACCCGCUCUGUGCCCGUGGGGGCCCUGUCCCCCUGCACAUACAGGCCUCCUGGGGUGGACGUCUAGCCAGGGCCCGUCAGGGGCCAGACACUUGCUCCAGAUCGUGAAGAAUCUCACAAUGGCGGCAGAGCACUGGACCAGCCCCAGCGCCUCCCGGGGUCCUAGGUGUGAAUGGACCUGAUUGCCAUCCCGACUUUAAGGCAGUGCCCCCGGGACUCAGAGGCUGAGUUGCUGACCCAGGACACACAGUGGGUUCGGGGCAGGGCUGGUGCCCACCACCAGCACGCGCUUGACGCUCACCUUGGAGACCCGUACUUUGGCUGAGGUUCACCCUUGCAGUCACAAACCUGGGCAUCAGAUCAGAUCAGUCGCUCAGUCGUGUCUGACUCUUUGCGACCCCAUGAAUCGCAGCACACCAGGCCUCCCUGUCCAUCACCAACUCCCGGAGUUCACUCAGACUCAUGUCCAUCGAGUCAGUGA